rnacentral:piRNA from 1 species
GUGAAUGAGGGAACGGAACUGAG